UUCCACGCCCUAAACGAUGAGUGCUUGCUAUUAGGAGAAGUCAAUCUCUCUUAGUGGCAAAAGCUAACGCUAUAAGCACUCCGCCUCUAGAGUACGGCCGCAAGGCUAAAACAGAAAGGAAUUGACGGGAACCCGCACAAGCGGUGGAUCAUGCGGCUUAAUUCGAAUCCAAGCGGGGAACCUCACCUAGGUUUGACAUGUAACUGCUAAUCCUAUGAAAAUAGGACUUCUUCGAGAGUGUUACACAGAUGAUGCACGGUCGUCGU
rnacentral:rRNA from 1 species